rnacentral:tRNA from 1 species
GCAUCUCCCUUACACUGAGAAGUCACCCGUGCAAGUCCGGUCGCCCUGA